AUACUUACGGGCCUUCGGGAAACGGUCGGCGCGUGGUGCCUUGCGCAGGCAAAUGCCGUCGUUGAUACCUAACCUAACCAGUUGAGACAAAGAUCAGUGGGUUGUUAGUCGCUUUGUUCCACGUUAACAAAAAUCGAAGGACACUCGUUGGCCCUUUUUGUUUAAACAUUUUAGAGUUU
rnacentral:telomerase_RNA from 1 species